rnacentral:rRNA from 1 species
CCUACGGGAGGCAGCAGUAGGGAAUAUUGCUCAAUGGGGGAAACCCUGAAGCAGCAACGCCGCGUGGAGGAUGAAGGUUUUCGGAUUGUAAACUCCUUUUGUUAGAGAAGAUAAUGACGGUAUCUAACGAAUAAGCACCUGCUAACUCCGUGCCAGCAGCCGCGGUCAUACGGAGGGUGCAAGCGUUACUCGGAAUCACUGGGCGUAAAGAGCGCGUAGGCGGGAUAGCAAGUCAGAUGUGAAAUCCUAUGGCUUAACCAUAGAACUGCAUUUGAAACUGUUAUUCUAGAGUAUGGGAGAGGUAGGUGGAAUUCUUGGUGUAGGGGUAAAAUCCGUAGAGAUCAAGAGGAACACUCAUUGCGAAGGCGACCUGCUAGAACAUAACUGACGCUGAUGCGCGAAAGCGUGGGGAGCAAACAGGAUUAGAUACCCGGGUAGUC